AUGGUUUUAGUUCGUGUUUUUUCGACCUAGAAAUCAAACCCUUUUGAUUAUUUUCUGUAUAACUGUUUUAGAUUUGAAAGGGGUUUUCUUGGUCUUCAUAGAUGCAUAUAAACUCGGUGCAUUUUUAGCUGUUCUGGUGCUAUACUUGGGGAGUUUAGUUUGUUUUCCAAAUUAUCCUUUGUACUAUAAAUGAAAUUUUAAUCAUUCAUGCUCUUUUUUUCCUAAUGAAAUUACCUUCUACUAAUGUUUACCUUUUAAUAUGUUUUGGUGCAUUUUUGGGUUUGUACCUUAUACAUGUGUUAUAAAUCAACUUCACUUGACCCUAAAUCUAAUAUCAUAUUGUUCAAAUAAAGGAUGGUGCAUAGUUGGUGCUGGGAAGGCAGGUGGAGAGCUAGAUUUGAUCUCACAUCCCACCACUUCCUGAUAUUAGUCUUGAUUUCUCUCAAGUAUUAUGUACCAAUUCAUUAUCAAAGUACUAGGUCGAUCAUUUUACUUUUGGGUUUAGUGAACAUAUGCCACUUUGGCUUUUAGGUUUCAUGAUUUUGUGGAACAAUGACUAAUAUGAAUGCAUCUUGGUGGAUCCAUUUGAUGA